CCCUUAGAUGUUCUGGGCCGCACGCGCGCUACACUGACGGAGCCAACGAGUAUUUUCCUUGUCCGGAAGGACUGGGUAAUCUUGUGAAACUUUGUCGUGCUGGGGAUAGAGCAUUGUAAUUAUUGCUCUUCAACGAGGAAUUCCUAGUAAGCGUGAGUCAUCAGCUCGCGUUGAUUACGUCCCUGCCCUUUGUACACACCGCCCGUCGCUACUACCGAUUGAAUGGCUUAGUGGGCCUUUGGGAUUGGCAGCCAACACCGGCAACGGUAGCUGGCCGCCGAAAACUUAUGCAAACUUGGUCAUUUAGAGGAAGUAAAAGUCGUAACA
rnacentral:rRNA from 1 species